rnacentral:rRNA from 1 species
AGAGUUUGAUCCUGGCUCAGAUUGAACGCUGGCGGCAGGCCUAACACAUGCAAGUCGAACGGUAACAGGAAACAGCUUGCUGUUUCGCUGACGAGUGGCGGACGGGUGAGUAAUGUCUGGGAAACUGCCUGAUGGAGGGGGAUAACUACUGGAAACGGUAGCUAAUACCGCAUAACGUCGCAAGACCAAAGAGGGGGACCUUAGGGCCUCUUGCCAUCGGAUGUGCCCAGAUGGGAUUAGCUAGUAGGUGGGGUAACGGCUCACCUAGGCGACGAUCCCUAGCUGGUCUGAGAGGAUGACCAGCCACACUGGAACUGAGACACGGUCCAGACUCCUACGGGAGGCAGCAGUGGGGAAUAUUGCACAAUGGGCGCAAGCCUGAUGCAGCCAUGCCGCGUGUAUGAAGAAGGCCUUCGGGUUGUAAAGUACUUUCAGCGGGGAGGAAGGGAGUAAAGUUAAUACCUUUGCUCAUUGACGUUACCCGCAGAAGAAGCACCGGCUAACUCCGUGCCAGCAGCCGCGGUAAA